rnacentral:rRNA from 1 species
UUGUCCACAAAGGAGUUUCCUGAGUUGGCCCAGACAGGGCUGAACUACCUGUCAUGGUCCUCGGACUGCGAGAAUUUUCUCCAGGGCAAAACCCUCCUGAGGGCGAUCGGUAAGGGGGCCCAGCUGGCCGCCACUGAUCCCAUGUUCGAAACUGAGAAUGCGCAGGCUCUGCACUUUCUCCGUCAUCACCUGUCACCUACUCUGAAAGAUGAGUGUAUGGCUGAGCGCAGUGCUUCUGGCCUUUGGACCGCUCUUAAGCAGUGGUUUGAGCGGCUGAAGUACACUAUGAAGCCACGUGCAGAGGCAGAGUGGAUCCGUCUAAGCCAGAAGAUUGAGAAAACCAUAUCCACUUUCCACCCCAACGUGGUCCAGUCCUCACGGAACUACCGCCAGGGGAACUACACGAGGUAUUCAGAGUUGAUUGACGUCCUCUAGGUGGCGGAGGCGCAAGAUGAGGUUCUCAAAAAGAACUUUGUUGCGCAACCACUUGGGAAGAAGAUGGGCCGCAAGGGCAAGAAGAAGGGCCCUCGCCCUCCUGCCCCGGCUAAGCAGAACAAGCCGGGCAAGGGAGGGCAGAGGCCUCGGGACUGCUUCCGUGGUGGCUCGGUGGAGCAUUUCUCCCGCCAGUGCCGCGCACCACCGGAGGUCGUUGAAGCAUACAAGGCUCGAAAGGCGCGUGAGACGCACCUCGCCUUGGUUCAGGAGGGAGCACCACCGGCGCCCAUGGCAGCACCCGUGAUGGUCGCUAUGCCCCCUGUUGCGCCCAUAGAGGCGACCCCCGUGGUGCCCAUUGUGGUAGCUUUGGUGGUCUCUACCGACACCCACGUCACCAUGGAGGUUGACCACAUGGUCGCCGCGGCGCCGCCGCUGCCACUAGACAUUGAUAGUGCCUCCAAGAUGAUUUCUAAGGAGGAUCAGCUCACUAGUAUGGAGAUUGCGGCUGAAGUGAAUGGCUUCUUCACCGAGUCCACUUAG